CGCCCUGGUGUUUUCCUUUUGCAUAACGAUUGCCACGUGAGCUAGCCUCUGUUGCCCAUCGUCGUCAGUUUCAGAGGGUACAUUUCUCAGUGCUGCUUUUUCCCCAGGUCUCCACGCCCUUGUGUGUUUCUUUUGCUUAACGAUUGCCACCUGAGCUAGCCUCUGUGGCCCAUCUUUGUCAGUUUCAGAGGGUAGAUUUCUCAGUCUUGCUCUUUCCCAAGUUCUGCACGCCCUUGUGUGUGGGUUUUUUUUUUUUUUUUUUUUUGCUCAAAUAUUGAACCUAAGCUAGCAUCUGUUGCCCUUCUUCGUCAGUUUCAGAGGGUGGAUUUCUCCGUGUUGCUUUUUCCCCAGGUCUCCACGCCCUUGUGUGUUUCUUUUGCUUAACGAUUGCCACCUGAGCUAGCCUCUGUGGCCCAUUUUCGUCAGCUUCAGAGGGUAGAUUUCUCAGUGUUGCUUUUUCCCCAGGUCUCCACGCCCUUUGUGUUUUCCUUUUGCUUAACGAUUGCCCCCUGAGCUAGCCUCUGUUGCCCAUGUUCAUCAGUUUCAGAGGGUAGAUUUCUCAGUGUUGCUUUUUCCCCAGGUCUCCACGCCCUUGUGUGUUUCUUUUGCUUAACGAUUGCCGCCUGAGCUAGCCUCUGUGGCCCAUUUUCGUCAGCUUCAGAGGGUGGAUUUCUCAGUGUUGCUUUUUCCCCAGGUCUCCACGUCCCUCAGUGUGUGUGUGUGUGUGAGUGUGUGUGUUUUCUUUGCAAGAUUGGCACUUGAGCUAACGUGUGUUGCCCAUCUUUGUCAGUUUCAGAGGCUAGAUUUUUCAGUAUCGCUCUUUCCCAAGGUCUCCACUCCCGUUGCUCUUUUCUUUGUUUCUUUGUUUCUUUGUUCUUUCUUUUUGGCUUAAAUAUUGUCACCUGAGCUAGGCUCUGUUGCCCUGCUUCCUCCGUUUCAGAGGGUACCUUUUUUCAGGGUUGCUUUUUCACCGGGUCUCCUCGCCAUUGUAGUUUUUUAUUUUAUUUAUUUAUUUUUUUGCUUAACGAUUGCCACCUGAGCUAGCCUGUGUUGCCCAUGUUCGUCAGUUUCAGAGGGUAGAUUUCUCAGCGUUGCUUUUUCCCCAGGUCUCUACGCCUGUGUGUGUGUGUGUGUGUGUGUGUGUGUGUGUGUUCUGCUUAAAGAUUGCCACCCGAGCUAGCCCCUGUUGCCCAUCUUCGUCAGUUUCAGAGGGUAGAUUUCUCAGUGUUGAUUUUCCCCCAGUUCUCCACGCCCUCGUGCUUUUUUUUUUUUUUUAAUUUCCUUAAAUGUCGGCACCUCAGCUAGCCUCUUUUUCCCAUCUUCGUCCGUUUCAGCGGGUAGACUCUCCGCCUGCCUUCGACAGACCCUCUGCGCUUGAAAGCUUUCCUCCUCCCGUCAUCACGGUCCUUCUCGGAUGACGUGCCUGGUUUCGGUUUGACCGUCCCCGCCCGCCCUGAUUUUCUAAGUCCUCCCGGGAGCCCCGGGGGCGCUCCGGCCGCUCCGGGAAGCGGCGGCCUCCCGGCCGCACCGGCUCAGCCCGGCCCGGGCCGACCCCUGGCCUCUCUGGGGGAACUCUCCCCGUCCCCUUCCCGGUGAGCGCCCGAGAAACCUUUUCCGGGUCCCCCUCCUGCGGCUGGGGCUGCGCCUUGGCGGCCGGAGCCCGCGGGCGGACGCCCCGGGGCCGAGCUGGGCCGGG
rnacentral:lncRNA from 1 species